UGGCAAUUAAUUCUUUUAAGAAUUGUUUAUGUCAUGGAAUCAGACUGGAACAGCAAUAUCCGUAGUCUACAAUAACAAUUGAGGGCACCGGAAGACAAUAUCAAUUAAAGACAAUUGUCAUUGCAAUAUUGCAAUUCAACGCAUUUUUGUUAUCGCUUGUCUGCAACUAAUUUAACAUAAAUUAAGUUGAUAUACCUCAUUUCAGUUGAACGUUGAUGCAGCCACUGAUAUUUCCCGGAACACAGCAUUUUUAGGAGCCAUUAUUCGUACUGUGAGAGGGGAGAUUAAUUAUGGUAGUAGCUAUCUAAAGUUAAAAAAAAAAAAAAAAUUUGAGAUGUUGAAUUCGCUGAAGCAGAAGCAAUGAGAUUUCGGAUCGAAAUAUGCAAAUGAUACAGGUCUAUUUCCAUUAAUUAUUGAAUCACAUA
rnacentral:lncRNA from 1 species